rnacentral:rRNA from 1 species
UACGUAGGGGGCAAGCGUUGUCCGGAAUCAUUGGGCGUAAAGAGCGUGUAGGCGGCUUGGUAAGUCCGUUCUGAAAGCCCGGGGCUCAACCCCGGGAGGCGGAUGGAUACUGCUGAGCUCGAGUCCGGAAGAGGCGAGUGGAAUUCCUGGUGUAGCGGUGAAAUGCGCAGAUAUCAGGAGGAACACCGGCGGUGUAGACGGCUGUCUGGAACGGUACUGACGCUGAGACGCGAAAGCAUGGGGAGCGAACAGG